CAAGGUCCUAUCAGACAGCUCCUACCUCAACAACUAUUACUGUAGAGGUCUGGUACCUGAUCCAAGGUCCUAUCAGACAGCUCCUACCUCAACAACUAUUACUGUAGAUGUCCUGUACCUGAGCCAAGGUCCUAUCAGACAGCUCCUACCUCAACAACUAUUACUGUAGAGGUCCUGUACCUGAGCCAAGGUCCUAUCAGACAGCUCCUACCUCAACUAUUACUGUCGAGGUCCUGUACCUGAUCCAAGGUCCUAUCAGACAGCUCCUACCUCAACAACUAUUACUGUAGAGGUCUGGUACCUGAUCCAAGGUCCUAUCAGACAGCUCCUACCUCAACAACUAUUACUGUAGAUGUCCUGUACCUGAGCCAAGGUCCUAUCAGACAGCUCCUACCUCAACAACUAUUACUGUAGAGGUCCUGUACCUGAGCCAAGGUCCUAUCAGACAGCUCCUACCUCAACAACUAUUACUGUAGAGGUCCUGUACCUGAUCCAAUGUCCUAUCAGACAGCUCCUACCUCAACAACUAUUACUGUAGAUGUCCUGUACCUGAGCCAAGGUCCUAUCAGACAGCUCCUACCUCAACAACUAUUACUGUAGAGGUCCUGUACCUGAUCCAAUGUCCUAUCAGACAGCUCCUACCUCAACAACUAUUACUGUAGAGGUCCUGUACCUGAGCCAAGGUCCUAUCAGACAGCUCCUACCUCAACAACUAUUACUGUAGAGGUCCUGUACCUGAUCCAAGGUCCUAUUAGACAGCUCCUACCUCAACUAUUACUGUAGAGGUCCUGUACCUGAGCCAAGGUCCUAUCAGACAGCUCCUACCUCAACAACUAUUACUGUAGAGGUCCUGUACCUGAUCCAAGGUCCUAUCAGACAGCUCCUACCUCAACUAUUACUGUAGAGGUCCUGUACCUGAGCCAAGGUCCUAUC